rnacentral:rRNA from 1 species
UCAGAUUGAACGCUGGCCCCUUGAAAACACAUGCAAGUCGAACGGCAGCACGGGUGCUUGCACCUGGUGGCGAGUGGCGAACGGGUGAGUAAUACAUCGGAACAUGUCCUGUAGUGGGGGAUAGCCCGGCGAAAGCCGGAUUAAUACCGCAUACGAUCUACGGAUGAAAGCGGGGGACCUUCGGGCCUCGCGCUAUAGGGUUGGCCGAUGGCUGAUUAGCUAGUUGGUGGGGUAAAGGCCUACCAAGGCGACGAUCAGUAGCUGGUCUGAGAGGACGACCAGCCACACUGGGACUGAGACACGGCCCUUUCUCCUACGGGAGGCAGCAGUGGGGAAUUUUGGACAAUGGGCGAAAGCCUGAUCCAGCAAUGCCGCGUGUGUGAAGAAGGCCUUCGGGUUGUAAAGCACUUUUGUCCGGAAAGAAAUCCUUGGCUCUAAUACAGUCGGGGGAUGACGGUACCGGAAGAAUAAGCACCGGCUAACUACGUGCCAGCAGCCGCGGUAAUACGUAGGGUGCGAGCGUUAAUCGGAAUUACUGGGCGUAAAGCGUGCGCAGGCGGUUUGCUAAGACCGAUGUGAAAUCCCCGGGCUCAACCUGGGAACUGCGUUGGUGACUGGCAGGCUAGAGUAUGGCAGAGGGGGGUAGAAUUCCACGUGUAGCAGUGAAAUGCGUAGAGAUGUGGAGGAAUACCGAUGGCGAAGGCAGCCCCCUGGGCCAAUACUGACGCUCAUGCACGAAAGCGUGGGGAGCAAACAGGAUUAGAUAUCCUGGUAGUCCACGCCCUAAACGAUGUCAACUAGUUGUUGGGGAUUCAUUUCCUUAGUAACGUAGCUAACGCGUGAAGUUGACCGCCUUGGGGAGUACGGUCGCAAGAUUAAAACUCAAGAGAAUUGACGGGGACCCGCACAAGCGGUGGAUGAUGUGGAUUAAUUCGAUGCAACGCGAAAAACCUUACCUACCCUUGACAUGGUCGGAAUCCCGCUGAGAGGUGGGAGUGCUCGAAAGAGAACCGGCGCACAGGUGCUGCAUGGCUGUCGUCAGCUCGUGUCGUGAGAUGUUGGGUUAAGUCCCGCAACGAGCGCAACCCUUGUCCUUAGUUGCUACGCAAGAGCACUCUAAGGAGACUGCCGGUGACAAACCGGAGGAAGGUGGGGAUGACGUCAAGUCCUCAUGGCCCUUAUGGGUAGGGCUUCACACGUCAUACAAUGGUCGGAACAGAGGGUUGCCAACCCGCGAGGGGGAGCUAAUCCCAGAAAACCGAUCGUAGUCCGGAUUGCACUCUGCAACUCGAGUGCAUGAAGCUGGAAUCGCUAGUAAUCGCGGAUCAGCAUGCCGCGGUGAAUACGUUCCCGGGUCUUGUACACACCGCCCGUCACACCAUGGGAGUGGGUUUUACCAGAAGUGGCUAGUCUAACCGCAAGGAGGACGGUCACCACGGUAGGAUUCAUGACUGGGGUGAAGUCGUAACAAGGUA